rnacentral:rRNA from 1 species
UAGUGAUUAACGCGAAGAACCUUACCCAGGCUUGAACAGCGAGUGACCCCUCCCGAAAGGGAGCUUCCGCAAGGACACUCGUAGAGGUGCUGCAUGGCUGUCGUCAGCUCGUGUCGUGAGAUGUUGGGUUAAGUCCCGCAACGAGCGCAACCCUUGUCUGCUGUUGCCAUCACGUUAUGGUGGGCACUCUGCAGAGACUGCCGGUGAUAAACCGGAGGAAGGUGGGGAUGACGUCAAGUCAGCAUGGCCUUUAUGUCUGGGGCUACACACGUGCUACAAUGGCCGAUACAAACCGUCGCGAUACCGCAAGGUGGAGCUAAUCGGAGAAAGUCGGUCUCAGUUCGGAUUGUAGGCUGCAACUCGCCUGCAUGAAGUUGGAAUCGCUAGUAAUCGCGGAUCAGCACGCCGCGGUGAAUACGUUCCCGGGCCUUGUCACACCGAAUCGAAUUC